CAAUUUCAGUGCAAGUCAUCAAUUACAAAUGCCGAUAGAUAAAUAUGGAUGGCGAUUUAAUCAUAAAAGAAAUAAAAUACUAUUAAUUAAAAGGAAUGAAACUUGGAACAUGAAUAAAAAUGGAGAAAUGAACUCAUCACCUGCAAACAAAAAUGAACUCAUAUAAAAAGUGGGGAAAAAAAUGCUAGAAAAGUUCAUUCUGUGUCCAGAAAUCAAUUAAAACCUGACCUAAGUGGAGGAUUUCACAGAUUUACAAGCAACACUUGAGAGGAAGAUAACACCUUGAUCACCAUC
rnacentral:lncRNA from 1 species